UGUAGGAGUGACAGUGAUUUCAGCAGCUAUCCUGGUUCCUGGAUGAGCUUUCACUUUAAGAACACUGCUGGAUUUUCACAGUUUCUGAUUAGAAUGAUGCUUUUAUGAAAAUUGUAAUGUUGCUGACAGAAGAACGAUGAGUGUCUGGUGUUUUCUGUUAGGGUCUCUGCAACCAGCUAUUUGAACAGAAUUUGAGGCCCUGCUUUCCGGGCGUGUCUUAAUUACGGCUGGAUGGAGGAGGCUGUGAUCAAUCCAACCGCAGUCUGGUACUCCACCUGAACAGGAAGUGCAAGAGGAGUCAAUGGGCAAGCAUCUGCAGUUGACACACUGUGAUAUUGUUUGGCUCUCUGUGUUAAGACUCAAAAAAUUGUACUGCACCAGGAAAUGUAACUGUAUCUUUCCAAGGAAUGAAGUAGCAAGAUAUGAUGAACCUUUUUUGAUCUAGCCAUAUUCUGCAGUGCUGAAGGGAGAGCCCUCAACAUUUUGCUGCAUGUGGCAUCUACACCUACUUGUUGCCCAACAGUUAUGGUAAGGGAUUCAGGUUGCACAGACAACUAUGAAGGAAGGCAUUAUGGGCAGAGAGCCAUACAUAAAUUCUCUAGCACUGACUUGUAGUUCUGAAUGCUUGAACUUUUUCUGUGUAAAUGUCUCUCUGAAAAAAAGCUGUUGUUUGUUUUGGCUUCUUUUAUUUAGGAGACCCUGCAUUAGAUCUUCAUGUUAUACUCACUACUUAAGUGUCCCUGAGGCCAGGAACACCUAGACUACACUAUAGGUUAUAGAUCUAAUUAUAUUAUUAGAAUUUUAAAAUGAAUAGUCUUGUGCACCUUAGAGACUA